rnacentral:lncRNA from 13 species
AUUGUAUCAGCAGUAAGUGUGUCAUCCACACGAAUAUCCGUGGAGUCUCACCAUGAAUAACGUGAUUAAGGAGCAUAAUGUGUGGACGCCCAGCCCAUCGGGAGCUUCAUCAGCCUGACUCUCAGGUCUGCUGCAGUUUGCUGGAGGUCCACUCCAGACACUGUUCACCUGGGUAUCGCCUGGCUUCAGAACAGCAAAGAUUGUGCCUGCUUCUUCCUCUGGAAGCUUCAUCCCAGAGUGCCACCAGCCUGUUGCCAGCUGGAGCUCUCCUAUAUGAGGUGUCUGUCAACUCCUGUUGGGAGACCUUCAAUAAAAUUCAACAUCCCUUCGUGCUAAAAACCCUCAAUAAAUGAGAUAUUGAUGGAACAUAUAUCAAAAUAAUAAGAGCUAUUUAUGACAAACCCAUAGUCAAUAUCAUACUGAAUGGGCAAAAGCUGGAAGCAUUCCCUUUGAAAACCAGCACAAGGCAAGAUGCCCUUUCUCACCACUCCUAUUCAACAUUGUAUUGGAAGUUCUAGCCAGGGCAAUCAGGCAAGAGAAAGAACAAAAAGGUAUUCAAAUAGGAAGAAAGGAAGUCAAAUUGGCUUUGUCUGCAGAUGACAUGAUUGCAUAUUUAGAAAACUCCGUGUCUCAGCCCCAAAACUCCUUAAGCUCAUAAGCAACUUCAGCAAAGCUUCGGGAUACAAAGUCAAUGCACAAAAAUCACAAGCAUUCCUAUACACCAAAAAUAGACAAGCACAGAGUCAAAUCAUAUGUGAACUCUCAUUCACACUUGCUACAAAGAGAAUAAAAUACCUAGGAAUACAACUUACA